rnacentral:tRNA from 1 species
GGCGCGCGGUCGGGCAGGCUUCUGGCCCGGCAUCGACCCACGGUCGGGGCGAGCGCGGCGGUGCAGCCUCCGGCAGCGCGACA